rnacentral:rRNA from 1 species
CCUACGGGGAGCUGCAGUGGGGAAUAUUGCACAAUGGGGGAAACCCUGAUGCAGCGACGCCGCGUGAGUGAAGAAGUAAUUCGUUAUGUAAAGCUCUAUCAGCAGGGAAGAAAAUGACGGUACCUGAGUAAGAAGCCCCGGCUAACUACGUGCCAGCAGCCGCGGUAAUACGUAGGGGGCAAGCGUUAUCCGGAUUUACUGGGUGUAAAGGGAGCGUAGACGGCAGUGCAAGUCUGGAGUGAAAGGCGGGGGCUCAACCCCCGGACUGCUCUGGAAACUGUACGGCUGGAGUGCAGGAGAGGUAAGUGGAAUUCCUAGUGUAGCGGUGAAAUGCGUAGAUAUUAGGAGGAACACCAGUGGCGAAGGCGGCUUACUGGACCGCGACUGACGUUGAGGCUCGAAAGCGUGGGGAGCGAACAGGAUUAGAUACCCCCGUAGUC